AGUGAACGCUGGCGGUAGGCCUAACACAUGCGAGUCGAACGGCAGCACAGUAAGAGCUUGCUCUUACGGGUGGCGAGUGGCGGACGGGUGAGGAAUACAUCGGAAUCUACUUUUUCGUGGGGGAUAACGUAGGGAAACUUACGCUAAUACCGCAUACGACCUACGGGUGAAAGCAGGGGAUCUUCGGACCUUGCGCGAUUGAAUGAGCCGAUGUCGGAUUAGCUAGUUGGCGGGGUAAAGGCCCACCAAGGCGACGAUCCGUAGCUGGUCUGAAAGGAUGAUCAGCCACACUGGAACUGAGACACGGUCCAGACUCCUACGGGAGGCAGCAGUGGGGAAUAUUGGACAAUGGGCGCAAGCCUGAUCCAGCCAUACCGCGUGGGUGAAGAAGGCCUUCGGGUUGUAAAGCCCUUUUGUUGGGAAAGAAAAGCAGCAGGUUAAUACCCCGCUGUUCUGACGGUACCCAAAGAAUAAGCACCGGCUAACUUCGUG
rnacentral:rRNA from 1 species